GACGAACGCUGGCGGCGUGCUUAACACAUGCAAGUCGAACGGAAAGGCCCUGCUUUUGUGGGGUGCUCGAGUGGCGAACGGGUGAGUAACACGUGAGUAACCUGCCCUUGACUUUGGGAUAACUUCAGGAAACUGGGGCUAAUACCGGAUAGGAGCUCCUGCUGCAUGGUGGGGGUUGGAAAGUUUCGGCGGUUGGGGAUGGACUCGCGGCUUAUCAGCUUGUUGGUGGGGUAGUGGCUUACCAAGGCUUUGACGGGUAGCCGGCCUGAGAGGGUGACCGGCCACAUUGGGACUGAGAUACGGCCCAGACUACUACGGGAGGCAGCAGUGGGGAAUAUUGCACAGUGGGCGGAAGCCUGAUGCAGCAACGCCGCGUGCGGGAUGACGGCCUUCGGGUUGUAAACCGCUUUCGCCUGUGACGAAGCGUGAGUGACGGUAAUGGGUAAAGAAGCACCGGCUAACUACGUG
rnacentral:rRNA from 1 species